UUCUGCUCUUAAAGUUAGCUUUGCCUUUAAAUGCUUUUUUUGACCUGUCCCAGAGCACUUGCUGGAGGCUUGUAGAAUUGGCAAUACUCAAACCAAGCAUCUAGAAGUCAUGGGCUUCAAAAAAGCACCAGAAAUAUUCUUCAUCUUUAACACCAGUGCAACCAGCAACAAGGAUUGAGAGGCACUAUUUGGCUAAUUCCUCAUGUCUCAAAGCGGAGGGUAUUUUCCCUGAGUUGGGACUGGAGAAAGAAAAUGAAUAGGUGGUUCAAUAGAAAGAUGUUUUCAGUUCAGCAUCAGUCACUACUGCUCCCUGCCCUCCCCAUUGAAGAAGUGACACCUUACCCUCUGGAGUCCUGCUUUUUGAGACGUGGUAGAGAUGGAGAUUACAGAGCUGACUGAAACCUGAGUGUGGAUGUGGGGGAGAAGAAAGGCUGAACAGUCACAAGACUGCUGCAUCCUAUGGCAGAGAAUAUAUGUGCAAAGCAGGGAGAGGCUGGUGGCAGAGAAGGACAAGAGCCCUCAUGUUUGUGUAUAGAUCAGCAUCGUUGUGCCAUCUGGUAUCAUGAUGACCCCAGCUUUCGUGCAGAAAGCAUCUACUUUCAAAGCAGUUGGCAAUGGCCCUCAUACCCCAGGAAUGACUAGUUAAUCUCUCAAAUGACCCUGAUGAGAUACUGGAAUUAACUUCUCACCUGUUAGAGGUCAUAAAUUCAUAAAUGUUUAGUUUCAUAUUAAAAUACAGGGUCUCCUUUACAGUUAGCUACAUGCAUUUUUUACUAUCACACAUAAGCAUACGCAUACAGUUACACAAAGAAACCAAGGAAUAUUUUACCUUUAUAAGGAAAAGAAUUGCAGAGGUCUGAUGGAGCAGGAAGAGUCCCCUUUAGUGUGGGGAUUAUGCCUGGCCCCUCCCUGGCUCCUGUCAUAUGUAGAUAUGCAGGCAGAUAGCUCAAAGAAUCAUUAUUCCCCGUCUGUCCUCUGCCUUGUGAUUCCCCACUAUUACCUCUCAUUCUGUGCUAGCAAAAUCACUGUGUAUCUAAGCACAACUAGACCAGGAGGAUGGAGUGGGAGGGCAGAGAUUCACAACAUUUUUAUUUUUUUCUUGCCAUGUUAGUUGUUGUCCAUACCACCUGUACAGUGGUUUAUUGCACACUGAAUGGGUGCAGGUGCAGUAGAAGAGAGAAAAAUUGGUAACAAGAAACUGAAUGUGAAGGUGCAUCUUGCUAGCACAUUUCUGGCUGAAAGUGGCCGUGAAAGCUAUGGCCUUUGAGUGAGUAAUAUAUUGUUUCAGGAACAUGCAUAUAAUUCCACUUUCCGAACUAAGUUUAUGGGAAGAGGGAGGAGGAGAGU